UACGUAGGGUGCGAGCGUUGCCCGGAUUUAUUGGGCGUAAAGGGCGCGUAGGCGGCUCGGCACGUCCGUUGUGAAAUCGCCCGGCUCAACUGGGCGGGGUCAGCGGAUACGGUCGAGCUUGAGCAAGCUAGGGGGCAAUGGAAUUCCCGGUGUAGUGGUGGAAUGCGUAGAUAUCGGGAGGAACACCAGUGGCGAAGGCGGUUGCCUGGAGCUUUGCUGACGCUGAGGCGCGAAAGCGUGGGGAGCGAGUCCGG
rnacentral:rRNA from 1 species